rnacentral:rRNA from 1 species
AGUCGAACGGUGAAGCCCAGCUUGCUGGGUGGAUCAGUGGCGAACGGGUGAGUAACACGUGAGCAAUCUGCCCCUGACUCUGGGAUAAGCGCUGGAAACGGCGUCUAAUACUGGAUACGAACCGUGGAGGCAUCUUCAACGGUUGGAAAGAUUUUUUGGUCAGGGAUGAGCUCGCGGCCUAUCAGCUUGUUGGUGAGGUAAUGGCUCACCAAGGCGUCGACGGGUAGCCGGCCUGAGAGGGUGACCGGCCACACUGGGACUGAGACACGGCCCAGACUCCUACGGGAGGCAGCAGUGGGGAAUAUUGCACAAUGGGCGAAAGCCUGAUGCAGCAACGCCGCGUGAGGGAUGACGGCCUUCGGGUUGUAAACCUCUUUUAGCAGGGAAGAAGCGAAAGUGACGGUACCUGCAGAAAAAGCGCCGGCUAACUACGUGCCAGCAGCCGCGGUAAUACGUAGGGCGCAAGCGUUAUCCGGAAUUAUUGGGCGUAAAGAGCUCGUAGGCGGUUUGUCGCGUCUGCUGUGAAAUCCCGAGGCUCAACUUCGGGUCUGCAGUGGGUACGGGCAGACUAGAGUGCGGUAGGGGAGAUUGGAAUUCCUGGUGUAGCGGUGGAAUGCGCAGAUAUCAGGAGGAACACCGAUGGCGAAGGCAGAUCUCUGGGCCGUAACUGACGCUGAGGAGCGAAAGGGUGGGGAGCAAACAGGCUUAGAUACCCUGGUAGUCCACCCCGUAAACGUUGGGAACUAGUUGUGGGGUCCAUUCCACGGAUUCCGUGACGCAGCUAACGCAUUAAGUUCCCCGCCUGGGGAGUACGGCCGCAAGGCUAAAACUCAAAGGAAUUGACGGGGACCCGCACAAGCGGCGGAGCAUGCGGAUUAAUUCGAUGCAACGCGAAGAACCUUACCAAGGCUUGACAUAUACGAGAACGCUGCAGAAAUGUAGAACUCUUUGGACACUCGUAAACAGGUGGUGCAUGGUUGUCGUCAGCUCGUGUCGUGAGAUGUUGGGUUAAGUCCCGCAACGAGCGCAACCCUCGUUCUAUGUUGCCAGCACGUAAUGGUGGGAACUCAUGGGAUACUGCCGGGGUCAACUCGGAGGAAGGUGGGGAUGACGUCAAAUCAUCAUGCCCCUUAUGUCUUGGGCUUCACGCAUGCUACAAUGGCCGGUACAAAGGGCUGCAAUACCGUGAGGUGGAGCGAAUCCCAAAAAGCCGGUCCCAGUUCGGAUUGAGGUCUGCAACUCGACCUCAUGAAGUCGGAGUCGCUAGUAAUCGCAGAUCAGCAACGCUGCGGUGAAUACGUUCCCGGGUCUUGUACACACCGCCCGUCAAGUCAUGAAAGUCGGUAACACCUGAAGCCGGUGGCCCAACCCUUGUGGAGGGAGCCGUCGAAGGUG